GGCACUUGAUCCAAAGAGAGCCUCUGAAAUGGCUGCACCCGAUAUCUCAGCAGGUUACCCCAUAGAGUGUUGAGUGGGCAACUCAAUUAUUCCCUCACCUGAAGAAGUCUGAAAGCAAGACGAAGAGAGUCCUUUUGCAAGAGUGAUGUACAAAGCCCUACGGACAUACAGACUUCGUGUGCAAGUCCUGUGGAGGAGAGGAGAUGAGAGAGCAAUCGGUUGGUGGCAUCUGGGGACAUUAAACAGUGACGUGGACACAGUGAUGGCCUGCAGUGGUGAACCAGUGAGGGAACAAGUCCUAUGGUUGGGGAGCUACCUGAGGCUGGAGAGCAGAGUACAGCCAGGCCCACAGUGGUGCAGCAUACCAGAGUCAAGGUCUCACUAGGAUGUCCAGGCUGGCCUCGAACUCCUGGGCUCAAGCAAUCCACCUGCCUUGGCCUCUGAAAGUGCAGGAAUUACAGCCUUAUCCAAAAUCUCUGGAGGUAACACCAGUGGAAGCAACCUUAGAAGAGGAAUGAGUUGGCAGGAGGCAAGAGGCAGGAAAGCACUGAGUAAGAGCUGGCAGUGUCAGUGUCAGCAUCAGAUCAAUUAUAGAGAAUGUUUCAUCAUGAGAUGUGAGCAUCAUGUUCCAGGCCCUGAGUGCUUCAUAAAAAAAAAAGUUCCUUUUCCACCAAAACAAUGCCCUGAUUUGAGUGCUUCAUCAAAAGAGAAAGAUUUCUCAUGAUAAACCAUAUUCUAAGCACUUAGAUCACAAUAUAGUAAAUUUUCAAAAGGAAGUCACUUUUGCCAAGAUAUAAAGGCUCAUGUACGUAAAUUCUAUGCUUCCAAUAUAAGUACAUUUCAAAAAUAUUAUUAAACCCUUAUUUACUGAGUGCUGCUUAUAUGCCUCCUAUUCUCACUCUUUUUUGUGGUUGAAUUUAAUCAACACACAACUCUAAGGAAUAGGCAUGACUCAUUAUUUUCAUUUUACACUUGAGGAAACUGAGGCACUCAGUGUUUUACAUAUAUAAAAAUGAGUAUGAGGUUCAGCCAAAAUUCAAAUACCGAACGUCUGGCUCCAAAGCCCACAUGGUAUUCACCAUAAAUAGAAAUUUCAUACUAGAAAUCAUAUUGUUUUCUUUCCCUCAGGAGCAAUUUAGGAAAUAAAUUAAAAACUUUAAAGUGGUGAUUUAAAGCAACUCACCUUUUUGCCAGUUAUACGUUACCUUAAGAGAAAAUUGCAAGAAAUGAGAAAGAUAAAGCUUGAUGAGGAUGACACUAUCAUGAAUCACACGAAAAGAAAAGAGGAUUAUUUAGCAUAUUGAAUAUGAAGUUGUAGAUUCAGGGCAACAUCAAGACGGAUGAACUCCCCCACCAAGCUGUUUAACAAACUGGCUCUCUGUCGAGCUGGCCAUGCCGAGUUAGUAGCAGAUCUGCAAUGAUGCCUCUACCAAGCUCACAAUUAUACAAAUGGUGAAGCAGCAGGAAAGCACAUAGAAGAGGGCUACACAGAAGAUACGAGCUCCAGUCAGGUCAUGACACAAAGCCACAGAACUUAACUGGGAAAUGAGCAAUGCUUAUGUGUCCAGCAUUGUCUUAAUUGGUUUCCCAUGCAGAGAGCUCAAAGAGCAUCCUAUCUGAUAUGCACCAGGCAACAACUGAGAACAAGGACCAGCCAAAGUCAUCAGAAGGGUAGCACAGUUGCUGCUAGCAGCUACAUCAAAAGUCUUCCCCAAAGCUCCAUUCCUCAAUGACUGCACAAAUUGCUAGAAGUUUGAGAUUGACACAGACUUUAAAGUUCAGUUAUGCCAACCCUGAUCUUCCCUUUCCAAC